CCGAGUUUACAACUCCCAAACCCCUGUGAACAUACCUUUAUGUUGCCUCGGCGGAUCAGCCCGCGCCCCGUAAAACGGGACGGCCCGCCGCAGGAAACCCUAAACUCUGUUUUAGUGGAACUUCUGAGUAUAAAAACAAAUAAAUCA
rnacentral:misc_RNA from 1 species